rnacentral:rRNA from 1 species
GAUGAACGCUAGCGGCAGGCCUAAUACAUGCAAGUCGAACGGGGCAGCAAUGCUUUAGUGGCGCACGGGUGCGUAACGCGUAUACAACCUACCUCUAUCUGGGGGAUAGCCCGGAGAAAUUCGGAUUAACACCGCAUAAGAAGGUAGCCUCGCAUGGGGCAGCCUUUAAAAUUUUAUGGAUAGAGAUGGGUAUGCGUCUGAUUAGUUAGUUGGCGGGGUAACGGCCCACCAAGACGAUGAUCAGUAGGGGUUCUGAGAGGAAGGUCCCCCACACUGGCACUGAGAUACGGGCCAGACUCCUACGGGAGGCAGCAGUAGGGAAUAUUGGGCAAUGGGCGCAAGCCUGACCCAGCCAUGCCGCGUGCAGGAAGAAGGCGUUAUGCGUUGUAAACUGCUUUUAUACAGGAAGAAACGACCCUUGCGAGGGGCAUUGACGGUACUGUAUGAAUAAGGAUCGGCUAACUCCGUG